AUGUCAUACCAGACCCUUGAGCUGACGUUGAUCUCGGCGAGCGAUCUUAAGAAGGUGUCAUUCUUCUCUCGCAUGCGCGUCUAUGCCGUUGCCUCCAUCUCCGGGGCCAACUCCUGGAUGCCUACCCAUGGCACCCAAGUCGACCACAACAAUGGCCAAAAUCCCACAUGGAAUGCCAUGCUCCAUUUGCCGAUCCCUGCAUGUGUUGAUACUCGCGGGCUCGCCCUCCAUGUGUUGCUACGCUCGGAGGCGCUCCUCUUCGGCCACCAUGACGUUGGUGAAGUAUUUGUGCCCCUUAAUGAUCUUUUGGCAGGCACAAAUAACACUAAUGACCCAAAGACCAUGAGCUACCAAGUGCGGCGACCCUCGUCUGGCCGUGCCCACGGCGUUCUCUACUUGAGCUACAAGUUCACCGGCAUCAAAGCUGCUUCCGCAAGCGCUACAGAUAACAAACAAGGGCAGUAUGUCAAGUACUCUGGGGGCUCUGAGGUGGCAAUGCCCAAACCCAUGGUGCCCGUCACCGCAUACCCACCACCGCAUGCCACAUUUUCAUACCCACCGGGUGUACCUUACGGUGCACCAAACGCAGUGUAUCCACCACAGCCAUAUCCACCACCGUACAUGUAUAAUACUGCUCCAGCACCGGCAACAAUGUAUGGGUAUGCGCCAGCAACGACUAUGGCUGCACCGGCAAGGCAUGCGGGAGGGAUGGGAAUGGGCCUAGGCCUCGGGCUCCUCGGUGGCGUGGUUGGCGGGAUGAUGCUCGGUGACUUGGAGUCUGAUGCCGCCUACGACGCUGGGUUCAAUGAUGGGAUGAGUUUUUAG
rnacentral:rRNA from 1 species